rnacentral:tRNA from 1 species
GCAUCGGUGGUUCAGUGGUAGAAUGCUCGCCUGCCACACGGGCGGCCCGGGUUCGACUCCGGGCCGAUGCA